rnacentral:rRNA from 1 species
ACAGGAAUGCUACCGCUACACAUGCAGUCGAACGAUGAACCACUUCGGUGGGGAUUAGUGGCGAACGGGUGAGUAACACGUGGGCAAUCUGCCCUGCACUCUGGGACAAGCCCUGGAAACGGGGUCUAAUACCGGAUACUGACCCGCUUGGGCAUCCAAGCGGUUCGAAAGCUCCGGCGGUGCAGGAUGAGCCCGCGGCCUAUCAGCUUGUUGGUGAGGUAAUGGCUCACCAAGGCGACGACGGGUAGCCGGCCUGAGAGGGCGACCGGCCACACUGGGACUGAGACACGGCCCAAACUCCUACGGGAGGCAGCAGUGGGGAAUAUUGCACAAUGGGCGAAAGCCUGAUGCAGCGACGCCGCGUGAGGGAUGACGGCCUUCGGGUUGUAAACCUCUUUCAGCAGGGAAGAAGCGAAAGUGACGGUACCUGCAGAAGAAGCGCCGGCUAACUACGUGCCAGCAGCCGCGGUAAUACGUAGGGCGCGAGCGUUGUCCGGAAUUAUUGGGCGUAAAGAGCUCGUAGGCGGCUUGUCACGUCGGUUGUGAAAGCCCGGGGCUUAACCCCGGGUCUGCAGUCGAUACGGGCAGGCUAGAGUUCGGUAGGGGAGAUCGGAAUUCCUGGUGUAGCGGUGAAAUGCGCAGAUAUCAGGAGGAACACCGGUGGCGAAGGCGGAUCUCUGGGCCGAUACUGACGCUGAGGAGCGAAAGCGUGGGGAGCGAACAGGAUUAGAUACCCUGGUAGUCCACGCCGUAAACGGUGGGCACUAGGUGUGGGCGACAUUCCACGUCGUCCGUGCCGCAGCUAACGCAUUAAGUGCCCCGCCUGGGGAGUACGGCCGCAAGGCUAAAACUCAAAGGAAUUGACGGGGGCCCGCACAAGCGGCGGAGCAUGUGGCUUAAUUCGACGCAACGCGAAGAACCUUACCAAGGCUUGACAUACACCGGAAACGUCCAGAGAUGGGCGCCCCCUUGUGGUCGGUGUACAGGUGGUGCAUGGCUGUCGUCAGCU